rnacentral:rRNA from 1 species
AGUGAACGCUGGCGGUAGGCCUAACACAUGCAAGUCGAACGGCAGCACAGUAAGAGCUUGCUCUUACGGGUGGCGAGUGGCGGACGGGUGAGGAAUACAUCGGAAUCUACUUUUUCGUGGGUGAUAACGUAGGGAAACUUACGCUAAUACCGCAUACGACCUACGGGUGAAAGCAGGGGAUCUUCGGACCUUGCGCGAUUGAAUGAGCCGAUGUCGGAUUAGCUAGUUGGCGGGGUAAAGGCCCACCAAGGCGACGAUGCGUAGCUGGGCUGAGAGGAUGAUCAGCCACACUGGAACUGAGACACGGUCCAGACUCCUACGGGAGGCAGCAGUGGGGAAUCUUCGACAAUGGGCGCAAGCCUGAUCCAGCAAUACCGCGUGGGUGAAGAAGGUCUUCGGGUUGUAAAGCCCUUUUGUUGGGAAAGAACAGCAGCAGGUUAAUACCCCGCUGUUCUGACGGUACCCAAAGAAUAAGCACCGGCUAACUUCGUG